ACUAUGAGAUGCAAAGGCUUUACCGCACUGUUUACAUUUGUAAGGUUUCUCUCCAGUAUGAGUCCUUCCAUGCCUU